rnacentral:tRNA from 1 species
GCCCGCCUAGCUCAAUCGGAUAGAGCGUCAGACUCUUAUGAGCGGGCAUCUGAAGGCUGCGAGUUCGACCCUCGCGGUGGGCU